GCAUCGGUGGUUCAGUGCUAGAAUGCUCGCCUGCCACGCGGGCGCCCCAGGUUCGAUUUCUAGUCUAUCCU